UACCUGGUUGAUCCUGCCAGUAGUCAUAUGCUUGUCUCAAAGAUUAAGCCAUGCAAGUCUAAGUACGAGCUCUCGUACAGUGAAACUGUGAAUGGCUCAUUAAAUCAGUUAUGGUUCAUUUGAUCGUACAGUUUACUUGGAUAACUGUGGUAAUUCUAGAGCUAAUACAUGCGAGAAGCGCCGACCUCGCGGGAGGCGUGCAUUUAUCAGACCAAAAACCGGCCGCGUCUUCGGGCGCGUUCGCCUUGGUGACUCUGGAUAACUUUGCGGAUCGCACGGUCUAGCACCGGCGACGGAUCAUUCAAGUGUCUGCCCUAUCAACUUUCGUCGGUACGGUAUUUGCCUACCGAGGUUCUUACGGGUGACGGGGAAUCAGGGUUCGAUUCCGGAGAGGGAGCCUGAGAAACGGCUACCACAUCCAAGGAAGGCAGCAGGCGCGCAAAUUACCCAUUCCCGACGCGGGGAGGUAGUGACGAAAAAUAACAAUGCAGGACUCGUUCGAGGCCCUGUAAUUGGAAUGAGUACACUUUAAAAGCUUUAACGAGUAUCCAUUGGAGGGCAAGUCUGGUGCCAGCAGCCGCGGUAAUUCCAGCUCCAAAAGUAUAUAUUUAAGUUGUUGCGGUUAAAAAGCUCGUAGUUGGAUUUUGGGCGCAGGCGGCCGGUCCGUCGCAAGGCGUGUACUGGACG
rnacentral:ncRNA from 1 species